GAAAUAAAACAUAUUCAUGGUUUGCCUAGAGUGAAUGUGUGUUGUGGUUUGGAUUUUUUAUUUAUCUAUUUAUUUAUUUAUUUUUAUUCAUACACUUUUUCUUCCUUGUAAUGAAAUUUAUUGGAGUUAGGUCGGAUCUUCUUAGCUGGUUUAGGCUUGACUUGCAGUGGAGUGCAGGAUAGUGUUGUGUGUUUAAUUUUACAAUAUCUGUAUCGUUGCUUCUCUAAAAUAAGAACUUUGUCAGUCAAUUCAUUAAAUUCAGUAAUUUGAAUACUUAUUUAAUGGGCCUGUAUGACUUCAGAGAAACAUACAUUUAUAGAAAUAUUAUAAUGAGAUAUUUUUGAUCCAUCUGUUAUGCUGUUGCUUGAAGAUAUGUGGAUGCUUUUCUUUCUUUUUCCUUUUUUUCUUAAAUGAUGUAUUUUUUUGCAUGCCUUCAAGAAUUGGCAAAUCAGACAGAAAU